rnacentral:rRNA from 1 species
AUUGAACGCUGGCGGCAGGCUUAACACAUGCAAGUCGAACGAUGACUAACUAGCUUGCUAGUUAUGAUUAGUGGCGGACGGGUGAGUAACAUUUAGGAAUCUGCCUAGUAGUGGGGGAUAGCUCGGGGAAACUCGAAUUAAUACCGCAUACGACCUACGGGUGAAAGGGGGCGCAAGCUCUUGCUAUCAGAUGAGCCUAAAUCAGAGUAGCUAGUUGGUGGGGUAAAGGCCUACCAAGGCGACGAUCUGUAACUGGUCUGAGAGGAUGAUCAGUCACACCGGAACUGAGACACGGUCCGGACUCCUACGGGAGGCAGCAGUGGGGAAUAUUGGACAAUGGGGGCAACCCUGAUCCAGCCAUGCCGCGUGUGUGAAGAAGGCCUUUUGGUUGUAAAGCACUUUAAGCAGGGAGGAGAGGCUAUUGGUUAAUACCCAUUAGAUUAGACGUUACCUGCAGAAUAAGCACCGGCUAACUCUGUG